AGUUAAUUAGCUUAUAUAAAGCAUGUAUCUUGAAAGUACAAGUAAGAAUUAAAUUUAUUAACUU
rnacentral:tRNA from 1 species